GCUGUAUCUCUCCCCCUGCAAGCCUUCACCCCCAGUGAAGCUAUCUUGCAGGAUUCAGUUCAGUGGGGCUGGGUUCCUCCACCACUGAAUCAAAAACAUG